GACGAACGCUGGCGGCGUGCUUAACACAUGCAAGUCGAACGGAAAGGCCCCUUUGGGGGUACUCGAGUGGCGAACGGGUGAGUAACACGUGAGUAACCUGCCCUUGACUUCGGGAUAACUUCAGGAAACUGGGGCUAAUACCGGAUAGGAAUCCUUGCUGCAUGGUGGGGGUUGGAAAGCUUCGGCGGUUUUGGAUGGACUCGCGGCUUAUCAGCUUGUUGGUGGGGUAGUGGCUUACCAAGGCUUUGACGGGUAGCCGGCCGGAGAGGGCGACCGGCCACAUUGGGACUGAGAUACGGCCCAGACUCCUACGGGAGGCAGCAGUGGGGAAGAUUGCACAAUGGGCGGAAGCCUGAUGCAGCAGCGCCGCGUGCGGGAUGACGGCCUUCGGGUUGUAAACCGGUUUCAGCAGGGGCGAAGCUUGUGGUGACGGUACCUGCAGAAGAAGCACCGGCUAACUACGUG
rnacentral:rRNA from 1 species